CUGCAACACCAUCAAAUAUGUGGCAAAUCUGGCUUAAAACAGCACCGACUACAUCACCCAGAAUGCCCAGCGCCAGAGGAGCAUGCGUACAGUGACUCUGCCGUCACAGGUUGUUAUGGACGCUGUCACAGAACACAGAACCCAUGCCACCACAUGCCUCGUCCAAAGGAUUUACACACGCACAAACGCAACAUAAUGCGGCACUCCACCAUGGAUCACCGAACCAAACCACCGCUAUCACCACCGCCACCAGAAACCAGCAGAGUGCUCUGAACAAUCAGCACAAUGCAAAUGGCUGAUAAUAAUAGCCUAAUGCUAUAUAGCAUCUGGGUCGCUGAACUACCGCACCCGGCGAGCUACAAGUUACUCCCGGCCAACUAACACCGACACAGUGAGACAGCCGUUACAGAAUUACCCACCAACAACAGACCAAGCAGUGGAGGAAGGAGCAGUGCCAGGAGGAGCAAGGAUCCUGGACCAGGGAGAGAAAGGACUGGACAUCCUGGACGGCAAGGGAUCCUACACUUGGGAAGAGAUCCUGGUCGGAAGGGAUUGCCUCCCAUGGGAACAGGUAGAGGCACUCAGAAGAGUGGAGGCAGCAGGAAAGAAGGACCAACGGCAACGGUAUGAGGGAACACAGCUGGGAAGGAAGCCCGAGAGGCAGCCCCCCAAAAAAUGUUGGGGGGGCACACGGGGAGUGUGGCAGAGUCAGGUUGGAGACCUGAGCCAGCUCCCCGUGCUUACAGGAGGCAACGUAAUACUGGUCAGGCACCGUGUUAUGUAGUAAAGCGCACGGUGUCCCCAGUAUGCGUGGAGAGCCCGGUGCGUUACAUCCCAGCUCCUAACAUCUGCCGGGGGAGAUUGGGCAUCGAGCCUGGACGGGUUGUGCAGGCCGUGCGCUCUAGACCUCCAGUGCGUCUUCAGGACCCGGUCUAUCCUGUGCCUGCGCCCAGAACCAGGCCUCCUGUAUGUCUCCCCAUCCUGGUUGGUCCUGUGCCUGCUCCACGGACCAGGCCUCCAGUGGGUCUCCCCAUCCUGGUCUCUCCUGUGCCGCUUCCACGGACCAGGCCUCCAGUGGGUCUCCCCAUCCUGGUCAGUCCUGUGCCUCCUCCUCGGACCAGGCCUCCAGUGGGUCUCCCCAUCCUGGUCAGUCCUCUGCCUGCUCCACGGACCAGGCCUCCAGUGGGUCUCCCCAUCCUGGUCUCUCCUGUGUCGCCUCCACGGACCAGGCCUCCAGUUGGUCUCCCAAUCCUGCUUAAGCCUGUGCCUCCUCCACGGACCAGGCCUCCAGUGGGUCUCCCCAUCCUGGUCUCUCCUGUGCCACCUCCUCGGACCAGGCCUCCAGUGGGUCUCGCCAGUCCGGAGCAGCCAGAGCUGCCC
rnacentral:lncRNA from 1 species